rnacentral:rRNA from 1 species
AACGAACGCUGGCGGCAUGCCUAACACAUGCAAGUCGAACGAGACCUUCGUGUCUAGUGGCGCACGGGUGCGUAACGCGUGGGAACCUGCCCUUAGGUUCGGAAUAACUCCCCGAAAGGGGGGCUAAUACCGGAUAAUGUCUUCUGACCAAAGAUUUAUCGUCUUGGGAUGGGCCCGCGUUGGAUUAGCUGGUUGGUAGGGUAAAAGCCUACCAAGGCGACGAUCCAUAGCUGGUAUGAGAGGAUGAUCAGCCACACUGGGACUGAGACACGGCCCAGACUCCUACGGGAGGCAGCAGUGGGGAAUAUUGGAAAAUGGGCGAAAGCAUGAUCCAGCAAUGCCGCGUGAGUGAUGAAGGCCUUAGGGUUGUAAAGCUCUUUUACCCGGGAUGAUAAUGACAGUACCGGGAGAAUAAGCUCCGGCUAACUCCGUG